rnacentral:snRNA from 1 species
AGCUUUGCACCGUGGCAGUAUCGUAGCCAAUGAGGUUUAUCCAAGACGCGAUUAUUGCUAAUUGAAAAAGAUAAUUUGGC